rnacentral:rRNA from 1 species
UUUAUGGAGAGUUUGAUCCUGGCUCAGGAUGAACGCUGGCGGCGUGCCUAAUACAUGCAAGUCGAGCGAACGGACGAGAAGCUUGCUUCUCUGAUGUUAGCGGCGGACGGGUGAGUAACACGUGGAUAACCUACCUAUAAGACUGGGAUAACUUCGGGAAACCGGAGCUAAUACCGGAUAAUAUUUUGAACCGCAUGGUUCAAAAGUGAAAGACGGUCUUGCUGUCACUUAUAGAUGGAUCCGCGCUGCAUUAGCUAGUUGGUAAGGUAACGGCUUACCAAGGCAACGAUGCAUAGCCGACCUGAGAGGGUGAUCGGCCACACUGGAACUGAGACACGGUCCAGACUCCUACGGGAGGCAGCAGUAGGGAAUCUUCCGCAAUGGGCGAAAGCCUGACGGAGCAACGCCGCGUGAGUGAUGAAGGUCUUCGGAUCGUAAAACUCUGUUAUUAGGGAAGAACAUAUGUGUAAGUAACUGUGCACAUCUUGACGGUACCUA